CAGCUCCAUUAGCUAUUUAAGCUUGUAAAAUCAUUUGGCGAAGUUCACUUUGCGGUUCUUGAUUAUCGAUACACAUUUUCUAGGAUGAAGCUCGUCGUACUGAUUUUCAUGUUCGUGCUACUUGCCCUGGCCGGACACGUGAGUGCUAAGCAACCGGAUCCCCCAUUUUUAGACUGUUUAGAUAAAUAUGGCAACAUUGUAGUGUGUUAUCCUGGGGGACUACCAAGGCACAAAUAAAACAUAUCAUA